AGCGAACGCUGGCGGCAGGCCUAACACAUGCAAGUCGAACGAACUCUUCGGAGUUAGUGGCGGACGGGUGAGUAACACGUGGGAACGUGCCUUUAGGUUCGGAAUAACUCAGGGAAACUUGUGCUAAUACCGAAUGUGCCCUUCGUGGGAAAGAUUUAUCGCCUUUAGAGCGGCCCGCGUCUGAUUAGCUAGUUGGUGAGGUAAAGGCUCACCAAGGCGACGAUCAGUAGCUGGUCUGAGAGGAUGAUCAGCCACAUUGGGACUGAGACACGGCCCGAACUCCUACGGGAGGCAGCAGUGGGGAAUCGUGCGGAAUGGGCGAAAGCCUGACGCAGCCAUGCCGCGUGAAUGAUGAAGGUCUUAGGAUUGUAAAAUUCUUUCACCGGGGACGAUAAUGACGGUACCCGGAGAAGAAGCCCCGGCUAACUUCGUGCCAGCCGCCGCCGUAA
rnacentral:rRNA from 1 species